UCAAGAGCAAAGGGGAGCUAAAUCCGAUAAAGGGAAGGAAAAAGUAGUUGAAUAGCCGUCGAAAUCGCUCGACAACAUCCAAGGUUUCGCUCGUUAGCUGUCGGAUUCGGGAUCAAAGAAGUCGAAGUCAUCCACACUAUCGAAGCCCCAUUUUGGUACAAAUUUUGGCUGAACUUUGAAAUGGCAUGUAUAGGACCAUCCUUUGUUGAAGGUCAUGUACCUUCCGGUUUGUGUAAACUUGGAUAGCCAUGCGAAAAUGGCUUAUAUACGUUUUUAGCAUAGAACUAUAAUCGUUUGUAUGUUGACCCUUAUGAGGUAUGGAAUUAUUUUGAAACGAUUAGCCAUUGGAAUGGUUAAUCAUAAUCACGCUUUGUGCUAUGUAUGUAAAAA